rnacentral:rRNA from 1 species
UACUAGAGUAGCACUCGCAUAUCAAUAAGCGGAGGAAAAGAAACUAACAAGGAUUCCCCUAGUAACGGCGAGUGAAGCGGGACGAGCUCAAAUUUGAAAUCUUAAAGGGUUUCCCUUUACGAAUUGUAGUUUAAAGAAGUGUUUUCUGUUGAGGUUUUGGUAAAAGUUCUUUGGAAUAGGACAUCAUAGAGGGUGAGAAUCCCGUAUUUGACCUUUACUUUCAACUUUGUGAUACACUUUCAAAGAGUCGGAUUGUUUGGGAAUGCAGUCCAAAAUGGGUGGUAAAUUUCAUCUAAAGCUAAAUAUUGACGAGAGACCGAUAGCGAACAAGUACCGUGAGGGAAAGAUGAAAAGAACUUUGAAAGGAGAGUUAAACAGUACGUGAAAUUGUCAAAAGGGAAGCGUUUGACACCAGUGUUGUUUUUCUGAAAAUCAAUUAAAGAACUGUUUAUGCUAAGCUGUUUAGACUUUAUCAGCUAUCUGUUUAGUUUUGAGCUUUUCUUUAAUGCACUUUUCAGUUAACAAGUCAACAUCAAUUUCUUUUGCUGUAAAAAAGCUUGAGGAAGGUGGCUUGAGAUUCGUCUUAAGUGUUUAUAGCCUCUUGCCUAUGCAGUCGGAGAGAUUGAGGUCUGCAGCGUAGAUCCUUCGGGGCUGAAUGCAUUUGUGCUAAGUUAUAGCAUUUUAUAGACAACUUGUUGACUAUGAUUUGUCUUGUAGCUUACUCGCUUAUGUUAUUUUACCUACGCUUAGGAUGUUGAACUACUGAGACAUAGA